rnacentral:rRNA from 1 species
CCUACGGGAGGCAGCAGUGGGGAAUAUUGGGCAAUGGGCGCAAGCCUGACCCAGCAACGCCGCGUGAAGGAAGAAGGCUUUCGGGUUGUAAACUUCUUUUGACAGGGAAGAGUAGAAGACGGUACCCGUCGAAUAAGCCACGGCCAACUACGGUCCAGCAGCCGCGGUAAUACGGAGGUGGGAAGCGUUGUCCGGAUUUACUGGGUGUAAAGGGCGUGUAGCCGGGUUGACAAGUCAGAUGUGAAAUCCCGCGGCUUAACCGUAGAACUGCAUUUGAAACUGUUGAUUUUGAGUACUGGAGAGGCAGACGGAAUUCCUAGUGUAGCGGUGCAAUGCGUAGAUAUUAGGAGGAACACCAGUGGCGAAGGCGGUCUGCUGGACAGCAACUGACGGUGAGGCGCGAAAGCGUGGGGAGCAAACAGGAUUAGAUACCCGAGUAGUC